GACUCUCGGCAACGGAUAUCUCGACUCUCGCAUCGAUGAAGAACGUAGCGAAAUUCGAUACUUGGUGUGAAUUGCAGAAUCCCAUGAACCAUCGAGUCUUUGAAUGCAAGUUGCGCCCGAAGCCAUUAGGUCGAGGGCACGUCUGCCUGGGCGUCA
rnacentral:rRNA from 1 species